AUCCCGUUGGUAAAGUGGUUACCGUGCCUGCCUUCCGAGCAAGCGGCUGAGGUUCGAUUCCCGAACGGUGUA